UGUUCCUGACCUGUAGAGUAGCAUCUGGUUGGUGGUGCCCGUCUCAUACCACCCAGGGGCAAAACAACUCCUUGUUUAUCCCAGCUUGGCUUUUGGUCUGUGCCCAUGCUUGGUUCAUGCCUUGAACACAUGG
ensembl:snoRNA